rnacentral:rRNA from 1 species
GACGAACGCUGGCGGCGUGCCUAAUACAUGCAAGUCGAACGCACUCUCGUUUAGAUUGAAGGAGCUUGCUCCUGAUUGAUAAACAUUUGAGUGAGUGGCGGACGGGUGAGUAACACGUGGGUAACCUGCCCUAAAGUGGGGGAUAACAUUUGGAAACAGAUGCUAAUACCGCAUAAAACCUAACACCGCAUGGUGUAGGGUUGAAAGAUGGUUUCGGCUAUCACUUUAGGAUGGACCCGCGGUGCAUUAGUUAGUUGGUGUGGUAAAGGCUCACCAAGACCGUGAUGCAUAGCCGACCUGAGAGGGUGAUCGGCCACACUGGGACUGAGACACGGCCCAGACUCCUACGGGAGGCAGCAGUAGGGAAUCUUCCACAAUGGACGAAAGUCUGAUGGAGCAACGCCGCGUGAGUGAAGAAGGUUUUCGGAUCGUAAAACUCUAGUUGUUGGAGAAGAAUGUAUCUGAUAGUAACUGAUCAGGUAGUGACGGUAUCCAACCAGAAAG